GUGAUCCUGAACACCUUGAUUAACUGGUUUAAGUGUGUUAAACUGAGACAGGAUCUAAACUCUGCUGGAAGGAGCUGGAUUGGAAACAUCUGGAUUAGCUACGUGCAUUUGUUCUGGUUUAUUUCCUUUAUUACCUUUAGUGAAAUCCUCCGUUCCUCUGUAUCAUCUGCUCCACCUGUGACACAAGAAACUAGGAGCAGGACUGGACACCCUUGGAAGAGACCACAAUCAACCAUAGAUGGCCAAUCAGCUUUCAGUCAGACACCUGUAGCCCCACCUCCAGCACCUCACCUUCUCCAGUAGAGUGAUGACCUGCUGC